CUAGGAAGAGAGGAUUCGAACCCCACACUAAGAGUCCAAAACUCCUCGUAUGUCCAACCAUACUCCCCCCUA
rnacentral:tRNA from 1 species